GUGGUCAAAGAACUGGUUGUGCUUCGCUGAAAGAGAAAAGACCGGGCAGAAAUGAGCUGUGGCUGCACAAAGGAUCGUGUGAUGAAAGAGAUGGAUUUAUAGUUAUCCCGAGGGCAAGCUGAGAGCUGGACUUGGGCUUAAUGAAAAGCAGCCGUUCAAAGAACCAAACCUGCCUGACGACACUGUACUCCUACACCCGGGAGCAGCCUCUGCUGAAUAUAUCCCAGCGAGUAGAUAGAAGUCAGCGUGUUGAAAGGAUCUGAAAGAAAAAGAAGUCAGUCCAUGAAGGUGGAUAUGGGGAAUGGCGAAAGAGAAAGACUAUUCUGAUGACACGCCCCAAUAAACACUGCCCACCUUGACUUAGAUCUCCA